rnacentral:tRNA from 1 species
UCUCUGAUGGUCCAGUGGUUAAGACCCUGUUCUUUCAAUGCAGAAGAUGCAGGUUCAAUUCCUGGUUGGGGAG